ensembl:lncRNA
CGCAGUGAAAACAAAUCAAAUCUGUCGUGUCCGAGACAUCCAAGCCCUUUCUAAUAGAAAAAAAUGAAGGAUACCUUAUGAUAUGCAUGUGGCAUCAGACGUUGAGACUGAUGGCCAAUUAUGAUUUCCAUUGAAAUGCAUGAGAUUGGGAAUGUGAAAUAUAUCCGCUUUGUACUGUAAGUAAUGGGAUUAUAUUCCUUUAAAAAGAUUUAUUAGCUACAAAAGUACUAUGAUUAGACGUAGGGUUAGAUAUAAAGUAACUGUUCUUCAAGCCUAACAAACCCUAAGUUUCUUCCACUUUAAUAAUAUUGAGUUGGUCCUCCAUUGAAGACUGGGUGGACUUCAUCACCUGCUCUGUAGGGAUACUGCAGUCCUGUAGAGACCCUUCCAAACAACCACUGGGGAAUUCAGAAACCUUUGCGUCCAGGCCUCGGAAUGACUGAGCAUUCGCCUGGACAUAUGUUUGGGCCAAGGACUGAGUGUAGCAAGGCAUUGCCGCUUGACUGUGUUGCUGUGUGUACGCGGUGGUAUAGGGCUGUGCUUGGGUGUAGGAGUGGGACAAAGGCCCGGCAUUGCUACAAGGGGGAAACCCGUUGACGCCCGCGCUCCUUAGUUCUGGCAGUUUAAAGGCCUCCACAAUCUCCAAACCAUCCAUGGAGCUGUAGCUGGACUGCGCCUGGUUGCACGGCGUGUAUGCACCCUGGCUGUAGGUGAACGGGUCCUCGCUGAACGCAGCGGCGGCGGCCGGGGCCGUGGGCAUGGCGGGUGGUGGCGUGGGGGCUUUGUCGGGCCGCGCGGGAACACUGCGACACGGGCCGAGGCUCGAGGCGAGGCCCUGGAGUGCGCCCAGGAUCUGCCUCUGGACUCGCGUCUGCUGCGUCUGCUCCCUCUCCAGACGGCUCUGCUGCUCCACCAACAUCUUCACCGCCAGGCCCAGGCCGCGCACCUCGGUGGCCAGGAGCUGCACCUGGUCCUGAAGGCCCCCCAGCACCGGGCCCACCACCCCCACCCAGACUUCUCGUCGGAGCCUCCUUCUGCUGGGGGCUGAUACUCCCCGAUGGGCCGAUACCCCCGUCUCGUCGGGCGUUGGACGGACCCCCGGGGGCGUGAAGACGUAUUUGUGGGGUCCUGGAGGCCGGGGACGUCAGAAGGGCCGGGGGUCGAACGCCAACUCUUGGUGGUGGUUGAGGGGAACGAAUUGACAGGGCGGGCCGUUGUGGGACACCCCUCCUUGGGUCAUUGGUUCCUCCGGGCUGCCCCGAUAGGAUUCGUGGCCGCUGGCGAGGGCGAGACUCUCCUUCGCAGUGCGGCCAGUGAUGUCGCCACCGUCGUGGAAUGUGCCCCCGCAGCCGCCCGCGCCAUAGGGGACUGGAGCGGCCUCGGCUGGCUGUUCUGGGCUAGGGAGGUGACGCUGACAAUCUGGAUAUCAGCCUCCUCCCGGUUCCCCUCGGCCGGCUGCUCGGACCGCCCCCCGACCCCGGCGUCACUCGACCCAGAGGAGUUUGGCCUCGCCUCGGAACCCGCCGUGGUUUUCUUGGCGAAUUCCAAGGCUACGAUACAGUUGGCCUGAUGAGAGGCUUCCCGUAGUAGGUUCUGCAGCUGAGAAUUGUUCCAAGGUUUGGGCCUGGCCGGUCCUUGAGGUGUCUCCAGUGCCACGCUGCUCCCAGACCCCCCGGCUCGUCCUCUUCCAGCUGGCCUGCCUUGGAACUCCCUCAGGUACAAGUAGAUGGCCUGGGCAGACACCUUGAUGU